AACCAUUAGGAGGCUGUGGUUUGCCAGGGCAGGAGGUGGAAGGGAGCACCAUUUACAGGGGUAACUUCCUUACCCUUUCCAUCCUGGCAGGCUGCAGAGAACUUUACCAG
ensembl:miRNA